UUUUUUCAUUUUCCUAUAAAACAAUUUAUGGCCCGGAUCAUAACCAAACUGUGUACAACAGCUAUGAAAGCCAAUAAUGAAUACAUUAAUUAAAUGUUGAUAAUCUAGGUGUUGCUGAUUUAGUGAUGUGCUCGUGAGUCCGUGAUUGGGAUUUAUAGCUCGUUUUGUUUGUAGCAAAUGCAGGCACCUAGUCAGGGCACCAUUCGCGCAUUCGGAGGAUGCACCACACGUCUCCGUAUGUGAAGAAUAUAUGCGAGCGUUCACAACCAUCCAACCCUCCUCUUCUUUCCUUUUCUCUCGCAGACGAGACAUCUCUCCUCAUCCGCUCGACGGCGAUUUCAUAACUAUCACCGCCGGCGAUAAACAACUAUCACCGGCAGCGGGAUCAACCUCAGUCUUUGUCCAUCAAGAACACCGGCGAUCUCACCGACUCUGGUUUGCUGGCCAUCUCCCGUGGCUGCCCAAAACUGGCCAAAUUCGAGGUUCAAGACUGUAAUAACAUCACAGAGAUGGGAAUGGGGAACUUGGCUGGCAUGCUCCAGAAAACGCUGGUUGAUGUGAACAUCUCUUGCUGCAAAAACCUCGAUGCUGCAUCCUCACUGCGAGGUCUGGUGCCAAUCCGGGAGAGGAUCCAGCGGUUGCACAUAGAUUGUAUAUGGGACAGCCUACAGAAGUCCGAGAUUCCUAGCGAUAAGUCCGCCCCUCGACAUGCUUUCGACCUCAAUGAAUCUGCGGAGGAAGCCAGCACAUCCAAUUGCUCUGCUGCUGGGUUCAUGAAUGAGUCCUAAGAAGAAGACUGCUACUCCCACAGAGGGCAGAGGAGGAACUCCUCCAUUUCACUCCACCCCUCCAUCUCAUCAUCCAAGGCUCUGAAACAGAGCUACACAUUCUUGACAAUCACACCACAAGCAAUAGCAAAUACCCUUCUCGCUCGUCGAAAUAAUUUGCACUUCAACUGCUAUUGCCAGUGCUCUUGAUGAGGGAAUCCCUUGAGACUUUGAAGUCUCAAUCUUUGAUUUUACCUCGGCCACGACUAGCCGAGUGAGAAGCAGUCCUGCCACAAGAGCUGCUGCCAUCAGCAUUGUGAACACUGCACUCCAGCUCUUAGCAGAAAUGUAGCCGUCAACAAUGGCCCAAUUGCAGCUCCCACAGAGCCUGUGCCAUCUAUAAUGGCUGUUACUGUUGCCCAAAUCUGCUGAUCUUUUAGCACUUCAUCUUCAUGGAAGAAGAAGAGAUGCAAAGAAAAUAAUACCUGAGGUUGAUCCCGCUGUCAGUGAUGGUUGUGAAGUGGCCGCUGGGCGGAUGGGGAGAGAGAGGGAGGAGAGAUGUCUCAACUGCGAGAGGAGAGGAGAGGAGGGCGGAUGGUUGUGAAUGCUCACAUGCUUCCGCCGUUCACACUAUUAGGGUGUUUUGUAGUGUGGAUUAGAUAGUGGUGGGUGUGAAUUGGUAUAUAUCACAUUCAGUGGCAUGGACCAAUUUAUACCACACUUCAAUUUAUAUUUGUUCUGAACCGUGGAUAGAUUGUGUGGAAUGGACCAGUGGUGGCGUUUUAUAGGUGUAGUGUGGAUUGGUUCAUACCACACUUUUUGAUUACAUGAGGUACAUUUUAUGUGAGA